rnacentral:rRNA from 1 species
UAGAUUCUUGAUCCUGUCUUAGGAAAGUCGUAACAAGGUAACGGUAGAGUUUGAUCCUGGCUCAGAAGUCGUAACAAGGUAGCCGUAGAGUUUGAUCAUGGCUCAGGAAAGUCGUAACAAGGUAACCGUAAGUCGUAACAAGGUAACCGUAGAGUUUGAUCAUGGCUCAGGAAAGUCGUAACAAGGUAAACGUGAGUCGUAACAAGGAACCGUAGAGUUUGAUCCUGGCUCAGCCUUUGACUUAAAAAAAAUGGAGAAGUCGUAACAAGGUAACCGUAGAGUUUA